UUGGGACUUAACCCUCAGGGCAUUGUGGCACCGGUGGAAAUGCUUUAAGUAAGAUACAGCACGACAUCCUUGCCCAAUAUACCGAAGCAUGUCUGAACUUGGAAAUCCUAACCCGCUCCUUGUAGGUUAAUCUUCUUCCCAAACCGCAUUUGUAAAAUUACAAGGACCUACUUACGGCUCUGCAGUGAUGGCCAAUAAAGCAGACCUGCAUUCAGAGAGAGAGAGAGAGAGAGAGAGACAGAGAGACAGAGAGACAGAGAGACAGAGACAGAGAGAGACAGAGAGAGAGAGAAGGAGGAGGAAUUGAAUUAAAUGAACAUGCAUUGAUGCAGCCUUCCUCUUUUCUGAAAUAGGAACGUGAACACAAAUGAGCUUCAACCAGAAGGAAAAUCCACAGCCAUCACAAGUUCCCUCUCUCGAUGGGACAUGUAUGAAACAGCCACGUACAAAUGGACUACUUACACUUUUGUUAUUCCUGAAUGUCAGAUGCGUGGAGCUUUGUGGUUAGCUAGAUAUCUCAGCUACAUGGAGAAGCAAGCACUAACCCAGUGCUUUAUAAUUCUUUUUGUCCACAGUGAACACAAAGAAUAAAGAAAGACAACUAAGGAUAA